rnacentral:rRNA from 1 species
GACGAACGCUGGCGGCGUGCUUAACACAUGCAAGUCGAGCGAAAAGGCGCGGCUUUUGUUGGUUUCUCGAGUGGCGAGCGGGGGAGUAAAACGUGAGUAACCUCCCCUUGACUUUGGGGUAUCUUCAGGGAACUGGGGCUAAUACCGGGUAUGAUCUCCUGCUGCAUGGGGUUGAAUGGAAAAUGUCGGCCGUUGUGGAUGGACUCGAGGCUUAUCAGCUUGUUUGUGGGGUAGUGGCUUACCAAGGCUUUGACGGGUAGCCGGCCUGAGAGGGUGAACGGCGACAAUGGGACUGCGAUACGGCGCAGACUCGUACGGGAGGCAGUAGUGGGGAACAUUGCACAAUGGGGGGAAGUCUGAUGUAGAGAUGUUCCGUGCGGGAUGCUGGGUUUUGGGUUGUAAACCGAUUUCGCCUGUGCCGAACACUGCGUGACGGUACUGGGUAAAGAAGCCCCGGCUAACUACGUG